rnacentral:rRNA from 1 species
AGAGUUUGAUCAUGGCUCAGAACAAACGCUGGCGGCGUGCCUAACACAUGCAAGUCGUACGAGAAAGUCCGCUUCGGUGGAUGAGUAAAGUGGCGCACGGGUGAGUAACGCGUGGAUAAUCUACCCUUUAGUCUGGAAUAACUUAUCGAAAGGUGAACUAAUACCGGAUAAUAUCCCGAUUUCUUCGGCGAUCGGGAUCAAAGAAGGCCUCUGCUUGCAAGCUUUCACUGAAGGAUGAGUCCGCGUACCAUUAGCUAGUUGGCAGGGUAAUGGCCUACCAAGGUUAUGAUGGUUAGCUGGUCUGAGAGGAUGAUCAGCCACACUGGAACUGAAACACGGUCCAGACUCCUACGGGAGGCAGCAGUGAGGAAUAUUGCGCAAUGGGGGCAACCCUGACGCAGCAACGCCGCGUGAGUGAGGAAGGUUUUCGGAUUGUAAAGCUCUGUCGAGCGGAAAGAAGUGCAUGGUGGUUAAUAUCCAUCAUGCUUGACGGUACCGCUAAAGGAAGCACCGGCUAACUCCGUGCCAGCAGCCGCGGUAAUACGGGGGGUGCAAGCGUUGUUCGGAAUCAUUGGGCGUAAAGCGCGUGUAGGCGGCUGGACAAGUCAGAUGUGAAAGCCCUGGGCUUAACCCAGGAAGCAUUUGAAACUGUUCAGCUAGAGUAAGGGAGAGGAAAGUGGAAUUCCUGGUGUAGAGGUGAAAUUCGUAGAUAUCAGGAGGAACACCGGUGGCGAAGGCGACUUUCUGGCCCUAUACUGACGCUGAGACGCGAAAGCGUGGGUAGCAAACAGGAUUAGAUACCCUGGUAGUCCACGCUGUAAACGAUGUUCACUAGGUGUUGGGGGUAUUGACCCUUCCAGUGCCGCAGCUAACGCAUUAAGUGAACCGCCUGGGGAGUACGGUCGCAAGAUUAAAACUCAAAGGAAUUGACGG